rnacentral:rRNA from 1 species
UAAGGAAUAUUGGUCAAUGGAGGCAACUCUUAACCAGCCAUGCCGCGUGCAGGAAGACGGCCCUCUGGGUUGUAAACUGCUCUUAUUCGGGAAUAAACCUAUCUACGUGUAGAUAGCUGAAUGUACCGAAGGAAUAAGGAUCGGCUAACUCCGUGCCAGCAGCCGCGGUAAUACGGAGGAUCCAAGCGUUAUCCGGAUUUAUUGGGUUUAAAGGGUGCGUAGGCGGCUUAUUAAGUCAGGGGUGAAAGCCGGUGGCUCAACCAUCGCAGUGCCCUUGAUACUGAUGAGCUUGAAUGGACUAGAGGUAGGCGGAAUGUGACAAGUAGCGGUGAAAUGCGUAGAUAUGUCACAGAACACCGAUUGCGAAGGCAGCCUACUAUGGUUUAAUUGACGCUGAGGCACGAAAGCGUGGGGAUCAAACA